GUUUCACCUUACUCUCCAUGCCACACAUCCCUACAUCAGCCCCUGUUGAACCCCCUACUGCCUCCUAGCCCCUAUUGAAGGCCUUAGGGGUGAGCAUGUAUGGAUGUCACAAAUAAAUGCUGUCAUAUCCAAAAGGAACAUAAAUGGCUUGGAUGUAACAGAUUAUAUUAUUUGUGUUCCUGCAUGGAGUUUGGAGGUACUGGUAACUUAAAAAUGUCUGCAAAAAGGUCUGCAUGAUGCAAUGAUGAGAGCAGGAUGCGAGUCAUAAUGUGCCAGAGGUUGUUGAUAUAGGUUGAUUUACGUACAGUCUAAAUGAGUCAGUCUACAUGAGUCAGGCUAUGUUGUUCUGUGGUCAAGGACCCCGGGCCAUUUCGUUACCCUUCCCAUGCAUCUCUCCUUCCUCCCUUUUGGAGGAAUGACUGAUGUCACAUGACUGGGUUUAUACCAGCGCUAAAGAGGAAGACCUGUUUGUGCCUUUGCACCCAAUUAAAGAUCUGAGAGGGAUUCAUCUAUGGUAGUUAUUCCAGCAGGUCUACAGAGUUUCCACUCCACAGAAACCAUUCUGUCCUGAUCAGGAAUGAUUGAUCUCUGUGGAGUCAACAUGAAGGCUGAACACGCUGUUCCCUGCUUUGUUUGUCAGCACCCACACACACACUCUCACAAACAC